rnacentral:rRNA from 1 species
AUUGAACGCUGGCGGCAUGCCUUACACAUGCAAGUCGAACGGCAGCACGGGAGCAAUCCUGGUGGCGAGUGGCGAACGGGUGAGUAAAGUAUCGGAACGUGCCCAGUCGUGGGGGAUAACGUAGCGAAAGUUACGCCAAUACCGCAUACGAUCUAUGGAUGAAAGCGGGGGAUCGCAAGACCUCGCGCGAUUGGAGCGGGCGAUAUCAGAUUAGGUAGUUGGUGGGGUAAAGGCUCACCAAGCCGACGAUCUGUAGCUGGUCUGAGAGGACGACCAGCCACACUGGGACUGAGACACGGCCCAGACUCCUACGGGAGGCAGCAGUGGGGAAUUUUGGACAAUGGGCGAAAGCCUGAUCCAGCCAUGCCGCGUGCAGGAUGAAGGCCUUCGGGUUGUAAACUGCUUUUGUACGGAACGAAAAGGUUUGGCCUAAUAAGCUGAGCUCAUGGCGGUACCGUAAGAAUAAGCACCGGCUAACUACGUGCCAGCAGCCGCCGUAA